UACGUAGGUUGCGAGCGUUGUCCGGAAUUACUGGGCGUAAAGAGCUCGUAGGUGGUUUGUCGCGUUGUCCGUGAAAACUCACAACUCAAUUGUGGGCGUGCAGGCGAUACGGGCAGACUGGAGUACUGCAGGGGAGACUGGAAUUCCUGGUGUAGCGGUGGAAUGCGCAGAUAUCAGGAGGAACACCGGUGGCGAAGGCGGGUCUCUGGGCAGUAACUGACGCUGAGGAGCGAAAGCGUGGGGAGCGAACAGG
rnacentral:rRNA from 1 species